GAUGAACGCUGGCGGCGUGCCUAAUACAUGCAAGUCGAGCGAACAGACGAGGAGCUUGCUCCUCUGACGUUAGCGGCGGACGGGUGAGUAACACGUGGAUAACCUACCUAUAAGACUGGGAUAACUUCGGGAAACCGGAGCUAAUACCGGAUAAUAUAUUGAACCGCAUGGUUCAAUAGUGAAAGACGGUUUUGCUGUCACUUAUAGAUGGAUCCGCGCCGCAUUAGCUAGUUGGUAAGGUAACGGCUUACCAAGGCGACGAUGCGUAGCCGACCUGAGAGGGUGAUCGGCCACACUGGAACUGAGACACGGUCCAGACUCCUACGGGAGGCAGCAGUAGGGAAUCUUCCGCAAUGGGCGAAAGCCUGACGGAGCAACGCCGCGUGAGUGAUGAAGGUCUUCGGAUCGUAAAACUCUGUUAUUAGGGAAGAACAAAUGUGUAAGUAAAUAUGCACGUCUUGACGGUACCUAAACAGAAAGCCACGGCUAACUACGUG
rnacentral:rRNA from 1 species